CAAAGAUUCCAUGAUGAAGAUGCCAAAAGCAAUUGCAACAAAACCAAAAAUUGACAAAUGGGACCUAAUUAAAGUAAAGAGCUUCUGCACGGCAAAAGAAACUAUCAACAGAGUAAACAGACAACCUACAGAAUGGGAGAAAUAUUUGCAAACUAUGCAUCCGACAAAGGUCUAAUAUCCAGAAUCUUUAAGAAACUUAAAACUUUCAUAUGCACAGGAAAGGAAAAAAAUUGUAUUGACUCGCUUUAUUGUGAUAGUCACUUUAUUGUGGUGGUCUGGAACCUGCAAUAUCUCCAAAGUAUGCCUGUACAAGUUUUUGUAGGGCGAUAUUUUUCCAUGUUUCUUUGGUAUAUAUCUCAAGGUGGAAUUGUUGGGUUAUCUAAGUAAUCAUAAGUAGGUUUAUAAUAUAUAUUCUAGAGAUUGUAGGCUAUUCUACCAAGAAACAGAGCUGAGGGCUUAAAGACCUGAGUUUGUCACUUUCCCACCUCUGUAAAUUCUCCAGCGCCAUCAGAAGCAGCCAGCUGCAUUCUUAAGGCUUUGCCUUCCGGGCCACUCUGCUGCAAGCAACCACAGGUAAUUACGGAUUCAUCACAGGCACUGGAAGACUGAAAGAACAAAAAGCAGAUGCUAAGAUAACCCUGAAAUUAUUCACACCAGGAAGAAACUACCAUCCCAGGCUGAGAGAACAAAAGGGAAGGAAUAUUGCUAUCAGGACCUUGGUGUUGUAGGGAUUCCACUUAAACCGCUGAGGGAAAUCUCUACACAGCUAGUACUGCAGCCUCUGAGAAUAGGGUGCCAUGUUCUGGAGAUCAGACCUUCAGGGGGACAUUUUGUACUGCUAGUGCCUAGACGCUAAGUAGGGUGUUGAUAGUGGUGGACCCUCAUAUUUAAAGGAGGGUCUUCAGUCUAGCUGGUACCUGUACCUCUAAAAAGGAAGUCUGGCCAUACCCUGGAUGUCUGAGCUGGCAGCACAACCCAGUGGAUAUUCCAGUCACUCAUGGGGCAGGGAUUGUGCCCCACAGACGCUCGAAUGGUCCAGAAGCACUGGCUCAGGGUGAGAAAAAAAGCAUAGCCCACCUGGCUGUACAACUGCAAAGGGGAUAUGGUCCAGCUCCUGUGGACAUCACUGAACAGGCACAGCAUGGCAGGUGCUGGGAGCAGUCACACAGUGGGCAGCUAGAACCUUCUCCCUGCUGCUAUGAGAGCAACACUGAUUGGAACUGGACACUGUGGGGAGAAAAAAGCCUUUUUUGUCCACUUCCUACCUAGCCAAUCUCCCCUGAAUGCUUCCUAUUGACAGAACCUAAAAGGAAGUCAGUUGGUGAGGGGACUAAGAAGUGGAGUUUGGAGAUCUUCAGCUCCAAAUGGAGCUGAGAGACCAGAGGGCAGAAGAUGAAGAGCCAGAAAACCUGGAUCCUGGCCCCAACCCAGCACUGACUGGGUUACUGAUGUUACCAAACACAAAGUCCACUCCUGAAGCCCACUGGGAUGUAAAAUCCAUGACUACAGAGAUUUUGUGGGUCUUGUUCAUCAUUGCAUAUCAUCGGCAUCUAACACAGUGCUUGGCUUCUCAGAAGAAAAAUAGAAUUACCAUUCAACCUAGUGAUCCCAUUUAUAGGAAAAAUCAGUGACUCUGACCCAGGAAAUCGCUCCCUGAGCCUCCCAGCUCCGCUGCUGAUUGACAGAGCAUCUCUGGGUUAACCACCUUCAGAUUCCCCAUCUUUAAAAAAGAGGUGAGAUCUUGCUCUGUUGCCCAGGCUGGUCUUGAGCUCCUGGCCUCAAGUGGUCCUCCCAUUUUGGCCUCCCAAAGUGCUGGGAUUACAGGCACAAGCCUCUGUGCUCAGCCCUCAACUUACUCUUAUUUCUGACUGCCAUCUGUAAUGGGAUACAGGCUAAGGCCAAAAAGAACGGUGGAGCACUCACCCCUGGGAUCUGGCACAGAGACUCCGCCCCAGCUCCUCUGAUAUUGGCAGCAACUCCCAGUCCUCAGGGAGUGCAAGCCAAGGCGUUGCCUCCGGGACCUCUUGUUGGUGCUGGCCCAUCUCCACCAGCUUUGCCCUAGACCUCUCCAGAAGCAAAUCUGACCCUGGGUGUAUUUUCCUCACUCAGAAGACUGUGGCCCCAAGUUGAGUAAGCACAUGCCCAGUAAUCCCAGAGGACGCCACAAAGCAGGACUGAGUGCAGUGAGGGGAGUGUGGACUGUGAAUCUGAAAUGAGCUGCUGAUGGAAGGUUGACUCUCAGGAAAUGAGAAGUUCUUUGCAAAUCAGCUGGCAGCUCCUGAGGAGAUUAUUUUCUCCCUGAGUAGAUGUUAGCUGAAGAUACACUGACUACCAGGAGAAGAUAUGAACUUUUGGAGAAAAAAAUCGUGCCCAGUACAGGCAUUAAACACAAGACUGCUCAGAGCAGAAGUUGGCCAUUCUGUCCAAGACGACCAGGUUGCUCAUGAUUCCAACACAGACUCAAGACUUGUCUAGGUUGAGGGUGAAGAAAUCCAGUGGCCUGUGGGCCUGAAGGAUUACUCCCAUCUUCCUGAAAUGUGGGGGCUUGGGGAGCUGGGAGUGCAUUGUGGGGAGGGGAGGGGGCUUCUGAAGCCACAGACUAAAAGGGAGCCUGGUUCUUCCCCAUGUGGGCUGGGAGACUCACAUCUAAAAUCUACUUCAUAGUUUAUAUUCUAGGGUAGUAAAUUUCUUUCUUCCCUUCUUUUUUUGGGGGGUGUGGUGAUAUGGGAAGAAAAAAGAAACCAAUAACAAAUGAUCUGAUGUUCUAAUAAUAUUUAACAACACUUGAAUUAGGUGUCUGCACUGUAUUGAAAGAAAAUAUUUGGCUAUUGGAUUAAAACCUAAAAACCCUUAGAAUAACAAUAAAUAAAGUGCAGUUCUGACAACCCAAAACACAGUGAACGAGUGCCCCAGGGGAGGUCCAAGGGCUCGAUCCAGAACUGCAAAUGCAAGCUUGAAAUCUCUUUGAAGUCUUAUGCUUGGUCUUUGAAAUUCAUCCAGUUUUGCCUUCUACCCAUGAAUGUUUAUUUUAAUAUGAAAAUCGUGUUUUUUCUCCUCUAAAAAUCACUCAGUCAAACCCAGCGCUCUAGGAGGGUGUGGCAGGGGAACACAUGGGCCAGUUUCAGAUGCCCAGGGAUUUGAAUCAUCAGGUGUCUAAAAUCGCCAGUCACAUUUAGACAAAGGCUGGUUGGCGACUGGGCUGCGGUAGAUGGCAAGGACAGGGAGCACAGGUGCCAGGCUCUGGGUGAUGGCCAGGGAUGUGCUACAGCAUCUUUCAUCAAAGAACGAGGAAAAAUAAUUCUACUGGGAGUCACACACACAGGGGCUCACAGGACCUCUAAUAUCCUUGGCAUCCUGGUUAUACUAUGCAUUAGUUCAGGGAGGUUAGGCUGAGAUAACAAAAUAGGCCCAAAUGUGCAGUAGCUCAACACCAUAGAAAUAUAACAGCUCACAGAGGGUUGGGUGGGCAACUCUACCCCAUGUAGUCAUACGAGAACCAAGAUUGCGGCUGAUGGUAGUCCUCCUUAACAUGUAGCUUUCCUGAGGGUUGCCACCUCAAUCAUCCAGAAGAGGAAACGAGCAUGUCUGAGCAUGCCUGCAAAGUUUGUUUUUUUUUUUUUUUGCUGCUUUUUUUUUUUUUUUUUUUUUUUUGAGAUGGAGUCUCGCUUUUUCACCAGGCUGGAGUGCAGUGGCGCGAUCUCGGCUCACUGCAACCUCCACCUUCUGGGUUCAAGCAAUUCUCCUGCCUCAGCCUCCCCAGUAGCUGGGACUACAGGCACCUGCCAUUAUGCCAAGCUAAUUUUUGUAUUUUUAGUAGAGACGGGGCUUCACCAUGUUGGCCAGGAUGGUCUAGAGCUCUUGAGCUCGUGAUCCACCUGCCUUGGCCUCCCAAAGCUCUGGGAUUACAGGCAUGAUCCACCACGCCUGGCCUGCAAAGUUUUUGUAGGCCAGACCUGGAAAUGACAGACACACACGGCUGCUCAUAGUCCAUUCAUAAGCACUCAGUCAUAUGAUCAUACUGAACUCCAGGUAUAAACACAUACCCCUAUUUCUUCAAGACAAAGAGAACAAAGUUAUUUUGUUAAUUACUUUUUUCUUCUUUUCUCUUUCCUCCUUGUUCCUUGUUCCCCACUUCUCACUUAGUUCUUUAGAAAUGCAAUGAAAACCCUCAGCUUCCCUUCACCAGAUGCUCCCUACAUGAUACUCCCAGAGGCUCUAACUGCCUGCUUACUUAGAAGCUCCAGAGCCAUGACUCUCUCUCACCAGGAGAUCACCUCAAGAGACAACACUCAAUCUGCAACCUAAAGCAUGUCCACGAUGGAACUCGCUCCCACCUGGAGAGUAUCUCGAGACAAUGGCCACCUUACAACCUAGCUCUGCCCAGGAUGGCACCAGCUGGACCACUCAGUAGAUAAGGCGACACAGUGAGUCAUGUAGACCUUGCACCUGAUCGCUCCCUCCCCUGUGUGCUGCUCAUGCCAGGUUCCUGUUUAAAAGCCCUGCUUUCUGCACACAAAGGGAAGCAGUACCCUUAAAGGCAGGAGCCAGUACAUCUUCCCCUAAGCUAAGCCUUAGAAUAACGUCACUUUCUUUACACCAGACCUCACCCCUGUUCAUUGGACUCUGCAAGCAGCAAGUGACUGAACCUGAAUUUCAGUUACACAAGGAAGUCUGGGAAAGGAGGUCUAGCUGUUUAUUCAGGAAGGGAAACUUAGAUCUUAAAGAGUGGCACGUUUUUUUCACAGCACCUGAGGCCAGGAAAUGACAUGAAGUUGUGCACAUUCAUUUCGGGUAGAUUAAAUAAUGAGAUAGCUGCCACACUUGUCACCAGUACAUUUCUGGGUAAUCCUAGGCUCACCUACAUACUUUAAUUAUAUAAAAGAGCCUCUGCCCCCAGUCAAUGAGCUAUUGGAAAAUGUACUGCAUCAGUUAUUUAUUUCUGGGUAUCACUUAUUCCCAAAGCUUGAUCUGAUUCAGUUAAUUCCAGGCUCUCUGUAAUGAAAUUAAUAAAAAUACUUGUCACUCUAAGGAACUGACUAGGUACAUUGACUAAGAGGUCUGGAGACCUAUAUUUUUUUGCUUAAACUAUCUCUUUAUUCUUAAAACUGUCUUCCAUUUCAACCUUUAAACUGCUUAAUAAGCAUUUCUCUACAGUUCAAGAAGUUUCCAUGGCACUAAUUCAAAAUAGAAUCUUGCUCUGUCGCCCGGGCUGGAGUGCAGUAGUGCAAUCUCGGCUCACUGCAGCCUCUGCCUCCUGGGUUCAAGCGAAUCUCCUGCCUCAAGCCUCCUGAGAAUCUGGGACUACAGGCGUGUGCCACCAAGCCCAGAUAAGUUUUGUAUUUUUAGUAGAGAUGGGAUUUCACCAUGUUGGCCAGGCUGGUCUGGAACUCCUGACCUCAAGUGAUCCACUUGCCUUGGUCUCCCAAAGUGUUGGGAUUACAGGCGUGAGCCAUCACGCCCGGCUGGCAUAUGACCUUUUUCAUAGUAAGUUUGCCCUGCUAACUUCAUUGGUUGAUCUAGGACAAGUGGGGUUUGUUGUUUUGCAAGCUCUAAUGGUCAUUAUUUUCAAUAUACAAAACCAGCAUAACAUCUAUGACAGAUAUUCCUAUUAAUUGAGACAUUUUAUACUCAAAUUCAGAACCACUGUUUUUCUGGCUGCUUUUGACUAGAAGGUGAACAUUCCAGAUGUAGUGUUGAUGUUUGUCCCCUCCAAAUGUCACGUUGAAAUGUGACCUCCAAUGUUGGUGGUGGGGCUUAGUGGGGAGUGUUUGCAUCAUUAGGAAGGAUCCCUCAUGAAUGGCUUAGUGUCCUCCUCAUGGUAAUGAGUGAGUUCUCACUCUGUUAAUUCACAUGCUGGUGCCAUGCUUAUAUAGCCUGCAGAACCACGAGCCAAAUAAACAGCUUUUCUGUAUAAAUUACUCAGCCUCUGGUGUUCCUUUAUAACAAAGGAAAACAGAGUAACACAGUCCCCUGUGUUAGUCUGGUAACACCCUGGCUGCAUCUUUCAGCCAGUAUCCAACACAAGGCAGACUAUAUAAACUAUUUAAUAAAAACUCACCUUUCCAAGGCCAAGAGCCACCUUGAAUCUGUACCAUUUCCUCCAGGCCUUCUACUUCCAGAAGGUUGGGGCUCAUUUCAAAACCCUGGGGCUCAGACAGGUCUGUCUGCCAUUGCUUUAUCUUGCCUCUUAGCAAUUUGGUGGCACCACAUCGAGUCUCUGUACAGUAUGUCCUGAGCUGUGCCUUUGAACCUUUACCCAAGGCUACCACAUUGCACAGCUCCAGCAAGAGCUGUGCUCUCUGUGCUACGUGAAGACCCUCCAUUCAUUAUAAGAAUCCAGGAAGACCACAUCUAAAUUUGGGCUUUCAAGUCUUUGGGGAGAAGGCAUAGGUGGUUCUUGAAGCUCCAGUUCCAUCCUACAGGAAACAUUAUGUCAGCUGCAAUGGAACCAAAAGGGGGGAACUUCCAUUUUUAAUGAGAUGGUUUGAAAACCAAACCAUUACAAACAUCCGGCAGUAUGGAAUAAUGUAGGAUAAACAUUAUUUUAAAUGCAGCUUAAAGAGUGAGCUGAAUACCAGAGCAGUGAGCGAGUGAGCUGAUACUGUGACUGCCCAGAAAUCAUCAGCCUCAGUAACCUUGGGGCUUGGGUUUUAGUAUUCCUGAUAAGAUAGAAGGCAGAGUUUUCAUCUCAUGCAAGUAAAGAAGACUCCCACAGCAAGUAGGAACACUUAAAGAACAACAAUCUCAAUAAAAGAUUAGACUAGAUAAAUAUCCAUGUAAUAUCACAGUGGCAUUAUAAGAGAGCUUUUGUGUUACUUACUGCACUGGGAGUCAGAAAAAAAAGUCCUUCCUGGAAAUUGAUAACUGCACUUCAUUCAAAUUUGGGUUCAAAUUCACACUAUCAGCAUGGUUCACGAAAAGCCAAGAAAAUAAUAUGAAAAUGGUUCCAGCCAAUAAAAACCCCCAGGGCACUGAACUCAGGCUGCACGAGAUUUUCACAGAGGAUGAGCUCACAAUCAAAACCUCUAAAAUGCCUGAGGAAAUAAUCCACCAUGAUUAAGAACCAGCAGACAUAACAAACAAUAGUAUUAGAACCCAAGGACUUCAGAAAAUUGGAUAAUCUUAUAAAUUAUAAACUAAGAGUAUUUGACAUGACUAAUGUCAGAAAGAAAGGAAAUCAAAGCAUAAGAAAAUAAUGUAACAUUAUCAAAAAUGAAAUCAGGUAAAAAUAAGAAAUAAACAAAAAUUUAAAAAAUAAAAAUAAAAAUCCAGUCAGGCAGGGCAGUUCAUGCCUGCAAUCCCAGAACUUUAGGAAGUCAAAGUGGGAGAAUUGCUUGAGGCCAGGAGUUCAAGACCAGCCUAAGCAACAUAACAAGUCUCCAUCUCUAAAAUAUUUUUUUAAAUUAGCUAGCAUAGUAGCAUGCAUCUGUAGUCACAGUUACUUGGGGAUCUGAGGAAGAAGGACUGCUUAAGCUCAGGAGUUCAAGACUGCAGUGAGUGGCUGGGUGCAGUGGCUCAUGCCUGUAAUCCCAACAUUUUGGGAGGCCAAGACCGAUGGAUCACUUGAGCUCACAAGUUUGAGACCAGCCUGGGCAAUGUGGUGAAACCCCAUCUCUACUAAAAAUACAAAAAAAUAGCCAGGCAUGGUGAUGCACGCCUGUAGUCCCAGCUACUUAGGAGGCUGAGGUGGGAGAUUGGCUUGAGCCCAGGAGGUGGAGGUUGCAGUGAGCCAAGAUAGCACCGCUGUACUCCCGCCUGGACACUAGAGCCAGACCUUGUAUCAAAAAAUGGUAAUAAUAAUAGUAAAAGAAAGAAAAAAGAAAAAAAAAGAAAAAUGAAAGACUGCAGUGAGCUAUGAUUGUGUCACUGCACUCCAGCCAUGGUGACAAAGUAAGACUCUAUCUCUAAAACAAAACAAAACAGAAACAAAUUUAGUAAUUGAAAUGAAAAACUCAGCAGCUAGGUAUCACCUGAUUUAGACACAGCUGAUUAGAGAAUCAGUGAACUGGGAAGUAAAUUUGAAGAAGUCAUACAACAUGUGGCACACAGAUAAAAAAAUGCAAAAACACUCAGAAUAUGUAAAUCCAUAGAGACAUAAAGCAAAUUGCUGGUUGUCAGGUUCUAGGGGGAUGAGAGAAUGGAGACCAAUUGCUUAAUGUGUAUAAGGCUUUCUUUCAGAAUGAUGAAAAUAGUUAUUACUAGAUAGAGGUGGUGGUUACAUAACAUUGUGAUUGUACUAAAUUUCACUGAAUUUCACUUUUAAAUGGUUAAUUUUAUGUGAAUUUUUACAUCAAUAAAAUAUAUUUUUAAGAAAGAGAUAUUCGGAUAAAAUGAAAAUAUCUAAAUACAUGUAAUACAAGUUGCAGAAAGAGAAUUAAGUGAAUAAAGACAGCCAGUAUUUUUAGAGAGAUAAAUUUUCUGGAAUUUAUCAAAGACAUGAAUCUGUGGAUUCAGGAAGUACAACACCUUGUAAGAAAAAUAAACAAGUUCACAUCUGAAUAUAUCAAGAUACAAAUGCAAAACACAAGACAAAGAGAAGAUCUUAAAAGCCACCACCAGAGAGGGCAUUCUUUAAGCUAAUAGUAAAUAUAUUCUAAUAGCAGCAAUAAAAACCAAAAUGCAAUGGGAUAAUAUUUUUGGAGUGCUGAAAGAAUACAGCUCUUAAUCUAGAUUUCUACCAUCAUUGUUCAAGUGUGAGGGAAACUUAAAAAUAUUUUCAGGCUGGGCAUGGUGGCUCACGCCUGUAAUCCCAGCACUCUGGGAGGCCAAGGUGGCAGAUCUCCUAAGGUCAGGAGUUCAAGAUCAGCCUGGCCAACAUGGUGAAACCCCAUCUCUACUAAAAAUACAAAAAUUAGCCAGGUGUGGUGGCACACACCUGUAAUCCCAGCUACUCGGGAGGCUGAGGCAGAAGAAUCACUUGAACCCAGGAGACAGAGGUUGCAAUGAGCUGAGAUCAUACCACUGCACUCCAGCCUGGGUGACAGAGCAAAAUUCCGUCUCAAAAAAAAAAAAAGAAAAAAUAUAUAUAUUUUAAGACAAACCAAGACCGAGAGUAUUUAGCCCAUUAACUCUCACUGAAUGAGCACUUAAAGGAUUUCUUUAAAUUCUUUUGAUUUCUUUAAAUGUCGGAAGAAACAAACCCAGAAGAAACAAACAAGAUGUAAAAGCAAUGGUAAGCAAUGAAACUGGUAAGCAUUCAGAAAAAUCUAAAUAAGGAACAGCUAUACAAGAAUGAUAACAGUGUUUCGGAAUGAGGUACAAAAGUGAAAUAAAAUACUAGAUAACAAUGACAUGUUUGAUCGAGGAGAGUUGGAGGGAUAGGGAGUUAAACAUUCCAAGAACUGUGUAUUGUGCAAGAGAAAGGCAGAAAGAACAACUGAGUAAAGUCGGUGGCUCACAACUGUAAUCCCAGCACUUUGGGAGGCUGAGGUGGUGGAUCAACUGAGGUCAGGAGUUCGAGACCAGCCUAACCAACAUGGCGAAACCCCAUCUCUACUAAAAAUACAAAAAUUAGCCAGGUGUCAUGGUACACACCUGUAAUCCCCAUUACUCAAGAGGCUGAGGCAUGGGAAUCGCUUCACCCCUGGGAGGUGGAGGUUGCAGUGAGCUGAGAUUGUGCCACUGCACUCCAGCCUGGGCAACAGAGCGAGACUCUGUCUCAAAAAAAAAAAAAAAAAAAAAAAAAAACAAGUAAAGAAUUUGUUAAUUCAGGAACAAAGUUAAAAAUUGAAAAGUAGCCACAGAGCCACAGAAGAAUAGAAGUAGAAUAACAGAAUAUAUACCUUCCCAAGAAGCAGUCAAGUAAGUAAGAAAAGGAAGAAGAAAACAUAAUCAUUCCAGUAGAAAGCAGAAAAGAACAAAAUAAGAAAAAAAGAAAAUGUAUAUAUAUAGUAAACAGAAAACACAAAAUAAUAUGGUAGAAAUAAAGUGUUUAAAUUACAAUAAAUGUGGGUUAUAUAAAAUAUACACUGAAUUAUAACAAUAUAUAAAAUAUAAAUAGAUUAAACUUAUGUGUUCAAUUUAAUUCAAUUCAUGGAAAAGGAGGCAACCCACAAAAGAUUUAAUACAACUGAUUAUAAACAUAUGAAAAUAAUUCUCUUCUAAUUAAAGAAAAAAUGAAUUCACAUACAGAUUUUUAAAUAACAAUCUUUAGUGCUGAAGGAAGUACAUUGUCAUCUUUUCAAUGUUGACUGUAAAGUGAAAUGGUGCAAAUUUUCCAGAGCACAGUUUGCAAAAUGGACCAAAACUUUUAAAUAUGCACUCCCAGCAAUUAUACUUGGAGGAAAUACUGAUAUGUGUGCAGAAAUUUGUCUACAAGGAUGUUCUAAUGAAUUAUUUAUAGUAUCAGAAACCUGAGACCUGAAUAUCCCACAAUUAAGAGAGUUGUUAAAUUACUCCUCAUGCUAUUGCUCAUAUUACUAAUAUUAGUGGUAAAUGAUAAUAUUUAUUAAGAGUCCACUACGUGCCAGGCGAUGUUCUAAACACUUUACCGAUUAACAUAUUUUAAUCUCCAUUACAACAAUGUGAGAUAGAUAUUAUCUUUCUCAUUUUAGAGAUAAGGAAACUCAUUAAGUAAAUAAUGGGAUUAACAUUUUUAAAUUAAAAAAGAGAAAGAAAAGAAAACUAAAAGUACACGGAAAUUAGUAAUUUGCCUGAAGUCACCUAACGAUCAAAUAGAAGAGCCAAGAGCCACCAUUUGAUCUGAUGGAGUUAGUCUCCAGAACCACAUGUCACAUGCAUUGGUUAGGUUAUGGAGGCAUAAAACACAUGUUCUAAGAAACACUGUGUUUUAAUAACACUAACCAUGUGAAACAAUACGUAUCAUACAUCCUAAUAUUGUAAAAACACACAUGUAUGCUCGUAUAAAAGUCAUAUUUAUACACAGGCAUAUUUAGGCACAAGCACGAAAGCGUCAUACACUAAAAUAUGCAUGAUCUCUGCCCUGGGUACCAGGAUUAUGGGUAACUUUCUCCUUUGUGCUUUAGUUUUUAUUUUCACAAGGAACACACAUUACUCCUGAGAUUUGAAACAAAUAACACACAAUUUCAAAAGUAAAGAAAUCGAUGUAGCUGGAUGGGGGUGGGUGGGGGUGGAAGUCAGGGUCAGAAGGAAGGAGAUGGUCUUGGCUGGGAAUGGGGAGAGGUUAGUCAAAGGGUACAAAAUUUCAGUUAGACUGAAUGAAAGAGUUCUGGAGAUUUAUUGUACAGCAUGAAGACUACAGUUAAUAACAAUGUAGCUAAUGUAGCCUAUACUUGAAAAUUACUGAGAGUAGAUCUUUAAUGUUCUCCUCACAAAAAAAAGUACCUUAUUAAGGCCAUGUGUGGUGGCUCAUGCCUAUAAUCCCAGCACUUUGGGAGGCCAAGCAGGGAGGAUCAUUUGAGCCCAGGAGUUCAAGACCAGCCUGGGCAACAUAGUGAAACACCAUCUCUUCAAAAAGUAAAAAAAUUAGCCUCGCAUGCUGGUGCAUACCUGUGGUCCCUGCUGCUCUGGAAGCUGAGGUGGGAAGAUCACUUGAGCCCAGAAGGUCAAGGCUGCAGUGAGCCAUGACCGUGCCACUGCACUCCAGCCUGAGUGACAGAGGGAGACCAUGCCUCAAAAGUAAAAAUAAAAAAUAAAUUAUUUUUUAAAAUGAUAAAUAUGUUAGGGAAUGGAUAUGUACAUUAGCUGAAUUUAGCCAUUUUACAAUGUAUGUGUAGUUCAAAACAUCAUAUUAUGUACUGUAACAUAUACAAUUUUUGUCAGUUAU
rnacentral:lncRNA from 10 species